rnacentral:rRNA from 1 species
UAGGGAAUCUUCCGCAAUGGGCGAAAGCCUGACGGAGCAACGCCGCGUGAGUGAUGAAGGUCUUCGGAUUGUAAAACUCUGUUAUUAGGGAAGAACAAAUGUGUAAGUAACUAUGCACGUCUUGACGGUACCUAAUCAGAAAGCCACGGCUAACUACGUGCCAGCAGCCGCGGUAAUACGUAGGUGGCAAGCGUUAUCCGGAAUUAUUGGGCGUAAAGCGCGCGUAGGCGGUUUUUUAAGUCUGAUGUGAAAGCCCACGGCUCAACCGUGGAGGGUCAGUGGAAACUGGAAAACUUGAGUGCAGAAGAGGAAGGUGGAAUUCCAUGUGUAGCGGUGAAAUGCGCAGAGUUAUGGAGGAACACCAUUGGCAAAGGCGACUUUCUGGUCUGUAACUGACGCUGAUGUGCGAAAGCGUGGGGAUCAAACAGG